CUACGUGCCAGCAGCCGCGGUAAUACGUAGGUGGCAAGCGUUGUCCGGAAUUAUUGGGCGUAAAGCGCGCGCAGGCGGAUCAGUCAGUCUGUCUUAAAAGUUCGGGGCUUAACCCCGUGAUGGGAUGGAAACUGCUGAUCUAGAGUAUCGGAGAGGAAAGUGGAAUUCCUAGUGUAGCGGUGAAAUGCGUAGAUAUUAGGAAGAACACCAGUGGCGAAGGCGACUUUCUGGACGAAAACUGACGCUGAGGCGCGAAAGCCAGGGGAGCGAACGGGAUUAGAUACCCCGGUAGUCCUGGCCGUAAACGAUGGGUACUAGGUGUGGGGGACAUUCCACGUUUUCCGCGCCGUAGCUAACGCAUUAAGUGCCCCGCCUGGGGAGUACGGCCGCAAGGCUAAAACUCAAAGAAAUUGACGGGGGCCCGCACAAGCGGCGGAGCAUGCGGAUUAAUUCGAAGCAACGCGAAGAACCUUACCAGGUCUUGACAUCCCUCUGACCGCUCUAGAGAUAGAGUUUUC
rnacentral:rRNA from 1 species